rnacentral:rRNA from 1 species
GAUGGGCAUGCGUUCUAUUAGUUAGUUGGAGUGGUAACGGCACCCCAAGACAGCGAUAGAUAGGGGCCCUGAGAGGGGGAUCCCCCACACUGGUACUGAGACACGGACCAGACUCCUACGGGAGGCAGCAGUGAGGAAUAUUGGACAAUGGGCGCAAGCCUGAUCCAGCCAUGCCGCGUGC